rnacentral:rRNA from 1 species
UACGUAGGGGGCUAGCGUUGUCCGGAUUUAUUGGGCGUAAAGAGCGUGUAGGCGGCCAGAUAGGUCUGCUGUGAAAACUCGAGGCUCAACCUCGAGAUGUCGGCGGAAACCAUCUGGCUAGAGUCCGGAAGAGGAGAGUGGAAUUCCUGGUGUAGCGGUGAAAUGCGCAGAUAUCAGGAAGAACCCCCGUGGCGAAGGCGGCUCUCUGGGACGGUACUGACGCUGAGGCGCGAAAGCGUGGGGAGCGAACAGG